GUCAGGGUGGCGGAACUGGUAGACGCGCUAGAUUCAGGAUCUAGUGGGCAUUAGCUCAUAGGGGUUCAAUUCCCCUCCUUGACACCA
rnacentral:tRNA from 4 species